CGUAUUGACUUUCUCCCAUGGUGAUCCCCAGUGACAACGGCACCAGCAGUAGGACAGAGUGAAACAUAACAGAUACACCUAGUUAAGGUUUCCGAAGUCUUGCUUGCGGCCUUCUUUCUGCUGGUUGAUUGUAUUAUCUAGAACUGGGUACGGAACAGCUAAACAAGAUUCGUUCAGUUUGUGAUUCCGUUGACGUCAAGUAGACUGACUCGAAGCUGUGCUGCCGUGAUUGCGUAACGAGAUAAACAAAAACCCGCUCCGUCUGACCCAUCAUGAAGGUCAGCACCGUGUUGCUCGCCGGACCAGUCGUCUUUUUGCUGUGCAUACAUCCAAGUACAGCUGGACCUAUACUAGCAGGACGUGAUCUGGCCGCGAAAUGUAUUUGUCCCCGAAUUUUUUCACCGGUCUGCGCGGUUGAUCGCACGGGCAGGCGGAGAAAUACUGCUAAUGAAUGUACAGCAAAAUGCGAAGGAUAUAAAGUGGUCAACGUGGGCCUCUGUUUGCCCGUGGAGUUCGGUGCUACGAAAGGGAAAUAGCUUCCCCAAUUGUACUUCUAUGCUCAGUGUUCUAGUGAACGAGCCCACUUGGGUAAUGUUUGAUGUUUUAGGGGAAGGUGUUUUUUUACGGAUAUAUUUGUCGUUCGAGACACAUAUGUGGGCUCGAUCCUUUCAGCUUUAAGCCAACAUAUCUGUAGCUACUAUGCGGUAAACUGCGACAAUAUUGAGAUGCCUUGUUUACUUACGGCCGUCAUUAGAAGGAAAAAACGGUGAACGAACAAUGUCUUUUUAUCUUAUAAUCUGACUCCAUCGUUAGAGGACGCGUCCUGGAGCACUCAAUGCAAGAAAAUGAAUAUUCCAUUAUUGAAAAUCACAUCAUGUUACUACAACGAGUGUCGUUUCUUCAUAUCUCAAGGUAAUUAGCUCGGUAUAUGCCUAGCUAUAUAUCACAUUCAGUUGUAACACGUAAGAUAUAGUAUUGAACAGCGUAUAUAAAACAACUCGAUACGCUCUAACGUGUGAGGUAACACAACAGCUUGCGACGGAGAAAAUAUUUACUAUUUUGCCUAUAUGUAAACUUUUACGCACUACUCCUGCCGUCGUCGCUUGCCAAGUAUCUUCUAAAAAAAAAUCUGACGAACACGUUUCACAUCUGACCAAAGUGAAUUUUGGCCAGUUGCUCUAUGCGACUGUAAUGUUUGUAAUGCGUUCUGGGGAUACAUGAACUAGCCUCGCAAAAAACUGGGCAAAAAACUUCAUUUCCUGCUGGGAAAUGCCAGUCUGAAGUGGCUGACCGAAGCAACGUCUAGUGGUACUCGUAGAAUUCGAAACAUUUACUUAAGUUAAGGUAUAUAGCUAAUCAGCAAGACCAUGCAAUGGGUUGCGAAUAAUGACACAGUGGCGUCUACUGAAUACCCUUCAAGGACCCACGUUCCAUCUUUCGAGGACUAUAUGAAGAAUGACUGAAAUGUUUGGCAAAUUAACUGUAUACAAAAAGCAGACCGAAUUUUCGUACUUCUACACGUAGUCUGCGCCAUUCUGCCUUUUCUACUGCAAAGCUCGCGUAGAUGUAGUCUGCGUUUGAACAAGUAUUUCCUUAGCCAUGGCUCCCCUCCGCAGCGUCUCUAUGGCAAGUUACGAUAUUUGUCGGAAUCCAUUUAGUAAUGAUUUAUGCCGUACUGAGUGUUAGAUUGUUAUCCACUUAACGUCUAAACAGACGAACAAGACACAAGAUGAAUCACUCUAAUGGUAGCUGAUGUCUCUAGGCUUUAGUGACAUUUGCCGUUUUCAAGUUGCAUACAACGAUCAAUACUCGACCGAGUGUGGGAACAUCGAAACUUUAUACUUAUUCAGCUUUUAACAAACAUCACAUAGUACUUAAUGGAAAAAUAUUGUGUUUGUCCUGUAAGCAUGAAGGCAUAUGAUUCGGUAAUAUCACAAUAAACUCUCGAUACCCAAGUUAAAUUUUGCAAAGAUGUCCCGGAGUCAAUUGCCUCAAGUUAACUCGAAUGUAAUGCAAGUACGAACCGGUGCUUGGCAAUGAAGGCGCCGCAUCAACAAAAGACGCACAGUUGGCUAUAAACUGUUCGGUCGAGAAGACCAGGGCCCUCAAAAACUAAAUCUUAAUAUUGCUUUCGAAAAUAGAUAGUUCCGCUAAAAU